ACAAUGAAAUUUAUAGUAAGAGGAAAAUCCGUCGACUUUAGAAAUCGUGAGGGUUCAA
rnacentral:tRNA from 1 species